UGUAGCUCAGUUGGUAGAGCAUGGCACUUUUAAUGCCAGGAUAGUGGGUUCGAUUCCCGGGACCA
rnacentral:tRNA from 1 species